rnacentral:tRNA from 1 species
GGGCUGGUAGCUCAGCGGCCCAGAGCCCCCGACUCAUAAUCGGCGAGACCCCGGUUCGAAUCCGGGCCGGCCCACCU